UCCUGCCAUCCGUGAUAAGGGAAUUUAAAAAUGUCGCUGUCUGUUUAGUGGAUGAUCUGUUCGUGCCAGAUCUCUUUACUGUUUAUUUUAAUUGCUGUAUCGGUUUGGUCUUUCAGUUUGUUGAAAAUUACUCUGUAGUAAUGAGACUCACACUUUGCCUCUUAAAGAAACGCCCUCUUGGGUAUUUAUUCAGAGGGAAGUAUAGACUUGUGAAAGAAGUGACUGCGAAAGAUCGUAAUAAUUUGAUAAACGACUACGCUCGUGAAGAAGAAAAUAUGUUUUAUUUGAGACAUCCCUAUCUCACUUAUGAACAAUCCCAAGGACAUGCACAAGCUCUCAAGAAGAAGGAAAAAUGGCUCGACAACUUCAGGAAAGUACGUACUACCUACAAGGAUCAUUUCACUAUGGAGAUGCAGUAUUCACAUCUGAAUGUUAAAAAUGCCUGGGAAUGAAGUUGCAGACUUCACAAUUGCACUUUUGUUCCUAGUACGCUGCAACUUUUUAUUAUGUAGAUGAAAAUACAUUGAUAUAGGACAUGUCCAUAUAUAUUAUCAAUGAUAAUGGUAUUUGCUUUGGUGUAUCAUGUAAAUAUAUCAUAGUAAAAUUAAAAAUGUUUAAACUCAUGGUGUAAAAUUCUAUGUAUAAUUAUGUAAUUCAAAUUCCAAAAGUUUAUACUUUUAAUUAAAAUUUUGUUGAUGUAUAAAUGAUGAGAUUGUCCUUGUACCAAGGCCUACGCAUUCUCCAUGAAUGGCAGCUUCACAUUCUACCUACUUUCACCACCAGGAAAGAUGCUCACAGCAUCCAUGGGAUAAGAGUGCUGGAUCCCAGAACCAUUCUGGAUAGAGUGAGGAAGAGGAAAAUUAUUUUCCUCAAGCUUGAAAUCCAACAAUAUGUAGAUGUUACAUGGUUUAUGGAAAAGGGAGUUGCUGCUAAGCACUUCUAAGGAAACAUUUUUAUAUUAACAAAAUAAUUAUAAACAUAGCAAGCACCAUAAAAAUAUUGGGCAACUUAAUGAAAGAACCAGCACAGAAAUGUCAAGGACACUAAAACAAAAUUUUCUGAAAACCAAUGAUUGGUAACAUAAGUCUCAUCUGAGUAUUUUAUAAUGUAUUUUUUAUGACUAUAUCAUGUUUGUCUAAAUAAAUUACCUGUACCCUGAAUAUUCAUCUACCUAGGCUUCUUUUGGAGUCCAGUUUAUGGAGACAGAUAAUGCCAAAAAAUACAUAUAAUGCAAGAAUAUUUAUUUGAUGUGAUGAUUUACAAUGUAAUACUCUAUGGAGCAUAUAAAAUUUUCAAUUAUUAACAAAUUCCAUGCAGAAAAAAAAGGAGGAACUUUCUGACAUGUAACAAAAUAAAUCUGUAUACAUAGGACUAAAUAGGACUACACCACAGCCACCUCUGCUACACUCUACAGCUAUGUUUAAAUGAUUAAACUAGGCACACCACAAGUAAUAUAUAAAAAGUAAAUACAUAUUUUACUUUCUCCCGUUACAGAAGUAUUUUCAUGCCUUCCCAUUUUAUUCAUAGUCAAGUAGGCCAUGCAGAAGUGUCCUGUUCUGUCAUUGCAUAAAGAGAAUAAAAUCUUGCAUUGUUUAUCAAUUUAAUUAUAACAUUCAAAAUAACUUUAAAAGGAGUAUUCUUCAAGGAAAUCCUUGUAAUGUAUGCAAGACUAGAAUAUGAUAGACACCAUAUUUGUUCCUCAGUUUAAAAUCUAAUAAAAG